UUUGAUCCUGGCUCAGAUUGAACGCUGGCGGCAUGCUUUACACAUGCAAGUCGAACGGCAGCACGAAAGAGCUUGCUCUUUGGUGGCGAGUGGCGAACGGGUGAGUAAUGCAUCGGAACGUACCGAGUAAUGGGGGAUAACUAUCCGAAAGGAUAGCUAAUACCGCAUACGCUUUGAGAAGGAAAGUGGGGGCUCUUCGGACCUCACGUUAUUCGAGCGGCCGAUGUCUGAUUAGCUAGUUGGUGGGGUAAAGGCCUACCAAGGCGACGAUCAGUAGCGGGUCUGAGAGGAUGAUCCGCCACACUGGGACUGAGACACGGCCCAGACUCCUACGGGAGGCAGCAGUGGGGAAUUUUGGACAAUGGGCGCAGGCCUGAUCCAGCCAUGCCGCGUGUCUGAAGAAGGCCUUCGGGUUGUAAAGGACUUUUGUUAGGGAAGAAAAGGAUAGUGUUAAUACCAUUAUCUGCUGACGGUACCUAAAGAAUAAGCACCGGCUAACUACGUG
rnacentral:rRNA from 1 species